rnacentral:rRNA from 1 species
GAGGAAGUAAAAGUCGUAACAAGGUUUCCGUAGGUGAACCUGCGGAAGGAUCAUUAACGAGUAAGGGGCUCCGCGCUCCGGGGGCUUCGGCCGCCAACUCUCAACCCUGUGCGUAUCUACCUCUGUUGCUUCGGCGGGUCUCGGUUGACCCCGACGCCGACCCGGGGGCGAUCUCGGGCUGGCGAGCUUCCGCCGGAGGCCAUCUUCAUUCUAUGUUAUCAGUGUCGUCUGAGGAUAAAUUCAAUAACUAAAACUUUCAACAACGGAUCUCUUGGUUCUGGCAUCGAUGAAGAACGCAGCGAAAUGCGAUAAGUAAUGUGAAUUGCAGAAUUCAGUGAAUCAUCGAAUCUUUGAACGCACAUUGCGCCCCUUGGUAUUCCGAGGGGCAUGCCUGUUCGAGCGUCAUUGCAACCUUCAAGCGCCGCUUGGUGUUGGGUUUCGUCCCCCGGACGUGCCCGAAAGUUAGUGGCGGUCCAGUCGAGAUUUCGAGCGUAGUAAUUUUCAUCCCGCUUUGGAAGCUCUCGCUGCGGCCGGCCAGUCAACCCUCAAUUAAUUUUUAAUGGUUGACCUCGGAUCAGGUAGGGAUACCCGCUGAACUUAAGCAUAUCAAUAAGCGGAGGAAAAGAAACCAACAGGGAUUGCCUCAGUAACGGCGAGUGAAGCGGCAACAGCUCAAAUUUGAAAUCUGACCCCGUCGGGGCCCGAGUUGUAAUUUGUAGAGGGUGCUUCGGGCGCGGCGCCGGUCUAAGUUCCUUGGAACAGGACGUCAUAGAGGGUGAGAAUCCCGUAUGCGACCGGCGAUCAACCCCAUGUGAAGCCCCUUCGACGAGUCGAGUUGUU